GACGAACGCUGGCGGCGUGCUUAACACAUGCAAGUCGAACGAUGAAGCGGGUGCUUGCACUCGUGGAUUAGUGGCGAACGGGCGAGUAACACGUGAGUAACCUGUCCUUUUCUUUGGGAUAACGGCUGGAAACGGCUGCUAAUACUGGAUAUUCAGGCUGCAUCGCAUGGUGUGGUUUGGAAAGGUUUUUUCUGGGAUUGGGUGGGCUCGCGGCCUAUCAGCUUGUUGGUGGGGUGAUGGCUUACCAAGGCUUUGACGGGUAGCCGGCCUGAGAGGGUGGUCGGUCGCACUGGGACUGAGAUACGGCCCAGACUCCUACGGGAGGCAGCAGUGGGGAAUAUUGCACAAUGGACGAAAGUUUGAUGCAGCGACGCCGCGUGGAGGGUGUAGGCCUUCGGGUUGUGAACUCCUUUUUCUCGCGAAAAAGGCACAGUUUUGGCUGUGUUGAUGGUAGUGGGGGAAGAAGCGCCGGCUAACUACGU
rnacentral:rRNA from 1 species